AGACAUUGCUCAAUGUAGGCUAAAUGCGUGAAUGGAUCAGAUCUAGCUAGACGGAUUUAUUCCUAAACAGACUCGGGCACAAUAGCAAAAUCCACUAUCCAGUUUAGGCUAAAUAUAACGGCUGGUUCUGUUCUGAUUCUCUGGCUUCUAGGAGGUCAGUCUAUUGUUAGCGCUGGGGUUGAGUCUGGGCAGCGAGAAGCGAACCCAUCCAAGGCAGUAAUGACCACACACAAAAUCCUGUCUCUCUGUGCAACCAACCCACGGCAAGGUGUGAUAGAAUAGCCUACGAUAUGGAAACAACCAAGGAACGGAACUUACUUUUAGCUUGGAACCUCGGCUAGAAGAAGAAAUCCACUUUGUUUUCCCGAAUCUCGUGUUAUACUGCGUUCCUUUUCACUUUAAAAUACAAGAAAAUAGCGCCCACUGUACCGUUGGUGUGUGUGAGUGACUGAAUCAACUACCGUACAGAGCCACAGCAAGUUGAAGUGUCAAAUUACACUGGCUGUUCAGUUACCACAGAGGGAGCCAUGCUUCGGGGCUGCUGACAAAAUGUGUCCCAGAUUCAGUUGGUGGGAGCGAUUUAGGAAUACUCCAGGAGUGACAGACCGACCAUACAGAAGGCUAUGAGAGACUGUAAAACCUCUGAACGGACGGGAGUGAAAUCAUUCGACCACCGACAGCGUUUGAAUUUCGAUUUUUAGUGGAGUCUCUAGGUCACCAGGCUGCUCAUUAUGGCGCACACCUGUCACCAUCAUUACACACACCUGCGCAUCAUCAGACUCACCUGGACUCCAUCAACUUCCUGAUUACCUGUCCUAUAUAUGUCACUCCCUUUGGUUCCUUCCCCAGGUGUUAUUGUUUCUGUUCCAGUGUCAUGUCUGUGCGUUGUUCGUGUUUCUUGUUUUGUAU
ensembl:lncRNA